rnacentral:rRNA from 1 species
GUGGGGAAUCUUGCGCAAUGGACGAAAGCCUGACGCAGCCAUGCCGCGUGAAUGAUGAAGGUCUUAGGAUUGUAAAAUUCUUUCACCGGGGACGAUAAUGACGGUACCCGGAGAAGAAGCUCCGGCUAACUUCGUGCCAGCAGCCGCGGUAAUACGAAGGGGGCUAGCGUUGCUCGGAAUUACUGGGCGUAAAGGGCGCGUAGGCGGACAGCUUAGUCAGAGGUGAAAGCACAGGGCUCAACCUUGGAAUUGCCUUUGAUACUGGCUGUCUUGAGUUUGGGAGAGGUGAGUGGAACUCCGAGUGUAGAGGUGAAAUUCGUAGAUAUUCGGAAGAACACCAGUGGCGAAGGCGACUCACUGGCCCAAUACUGACGCUGAGGCGCGAAAGCGUGGGGAGCAAACAGGAUUAGAAACCCGAGUAGUCC